UUGAUCCUGGCUCAGAAUCAACGCUGGCGGCGUGCCUAACACAUGCAAGUCGAACGAGAAAGUGGAGCAAUCCAUGAGUAAAGUGGCGACCGGGUGAGUUACACGUGACCAAUCUACCCUUGAGUGGGGGAUAACCUCGGGAAACCGGGUCUAAUACCGCAUAACAUCCUCGGAACGGAAGUUCUGGGGAUCAAAGGAGUAAUUCGCUUAAGGAGGAGGUCGCGGCUGAUUAGCUAGUUGGCGGGGUAAUGGCCCACCAAGGCAAAGAUCGGUAGCCGGCCUGAGAGGGCGCACGGCCAUACUGGAACUGAAACACGGUCCAGACUCCUACGGGAGGCAGCAGUGGGGAUUUUUGCGCAAUGGGGGAAACCCUGACGCAGCAACGCCGCGUGGAGGAUGUAGUCCCUUGGGACGUAAACUCCUUUCGACCCGGACGAUAAUGACGGUACUGGUGGAAGAAGCCCCGGCUAACUUCGUGCCAGCAGCCGCGGUAAUAAGGU
rnacentral:rRNA from 1 species